UGGGGAAUAUUGGACAAUGGGCGCAAGCCUGAUCCAGCCAUGCCGCGUGUGUGAAGAAGGUCUUCGGAUUGUAAAGCACUUUAAGUUGGGAGGAAGGUCAGUAGCUUAAUACGUUGCUGAUUUGACGUUACCGACAGAAUAAGCACCGGCUAACUCUGUGCCAGCAGCCGCGGUAAUACAGAGGGUGCAAGCGUUAAUCGGAAUUACUGGGCGUAAAGCGCGCGUAGGUGGUUAUGUAAGUUGGAUGUGAAAUCCCCGGGCUCAACCUGGGAACUGCAUCCAAAACUGCAUGGCUAGAGUACGGUAGAGGGUGGUGGAAUUUCCUGUGUAGCGGUGAAAUGCGUAGAUAUAGGAAGGAACACCAGUGGCGAAGGCGACCACCUGGACUGAUACUGACACUGAGGUGCGAAAGCGUGGGGAGCAAACAGGAUUAGAUACCCACGUAGUCCCUGAGCGGGCUGGCAAGGC
rnacentral:rRNA from 1 species